rnacentral:lncRNA from 1 species
GUUUCUGUCAGAUUUGGAAAGAAUCAUUGGCAGUCUAGGGAAAAGUGGAUUUACACAAGGUACCGAAAUUACCAGGUGAUAGAGAAGACGUUUAAAUUUGUGGGCCCUCACUCUGAGUUGAGGAAGGGGCCCCUGGUGUUUUUACGACGCACACUUUCUUACUGCUGUACCUGCUGUGGAAUCUAGUGAGAUUCUAAGUAGUCCUAUUUAAUUGUGAGUCAAUAGUGACUUGCUGGGUGCGGUGGCGACUCCCACGGCGGAUGGCUGGGUCGAGAGCACAUCUUUAUUUUCUCUCUAGAUCAUUCUUCUUCCUAUUUUGAUUUGAGAAAGGGAACGUGAGAAUUAGGUCAACCAGAGUGUUUUCCCAGUAAGUGUUGAGGCAGGCGUUUGCAAGGAGCAGUAUUGGAAGCGUUUCCGGAGUUUUCCAGUGUGUUCGGGUUUCACCUGCAUGUCAGGGUUCGUCACCGUCACAGGAACCCUGGGUCAUUUUGCCAACUCAGUAGAACGGGGCUAAAAUGUAAGAGAAGUAACUUUUAUUUUGAGAACAUGCUCAAAAGUCUAACAAAAUGCACACAGGGGAUACAGAAAAUAGAAUGUGGCAAGGUGGGAGUCUGUGGAGGGAGUGGUGAGUAAAUUGUAAUCCGUCUUGGAGACCGUUUCCAAGUUUACACUACGUGAAGCGGACGGGGUUUGUGAUGCACACAGGGCACAGCCCCCAAGCCCGGGUUCUCCAUCGCUUAGUGGGAAUGCAGCCUCUGUGUGGUUUCAAGAAUGGACAUCUGAGUUCUGGCCUGUGUCCAUUUCAACAUAUUCACUGUUUGAAAGUGAAUAUUCAGUUUGACUCGUUUAAUUUCAGAAGCACUGAGAACUGAACUUAGAACAGAAGAGCACUCUAAAUAGAGAGAAGAGAGGAGAUUGUUGAGGCAGAUGGAAAGCAUCACAGGAGAAGUGUGUGGCCCUCGCCUGUGGAGGUGAAGCUCCAGCAAGGCUCCAUCUUGAGUUUUUUUAAAUUUUGAGUAGUAAAGUGAUUCACUAGAUGGAUUGCUAAAAGCAGUUCCCAUUUUAUGUUUUCUUUCUUUGGUAUUCCCAAAAUGCAAAAAAAGUAUGUCUUAGGGCCGAUAUCCCCUUUUGAAAUUACAUCGUUAGGAUUUCUGCCAUCUUUGGAACCAGGGUGUUGAAAGGCUCAGGGUGCUCGCCCACAUCAGUGAGGGAGGUGCAGCUGAUGAAGGAAGUGCUGGGUGCAGAAGGGGAUGCUCUGAAAUGGUGGCUUCUGUUUGCAGUUUCAAAGCUCAGAGUCCUGCUCUGAUGCCCAGGCUAGAAUACAGUGGCACGAUCUCAGCUCACUCCAGUCUCCACCAUCCCAGGUUCAAGUGAUUCUCCUGCCUCAGCUUCCUGAGUAGCUGGGAUUACAGGUGCCCGCCACCACACCCAACUAAUUUUUGUAGAGACAGGGUUUCACCAUCUUGGCCAGGCUGGUCUUGAACUCCUGACCUCGUGAUCCACCUGCCUCUGCCUCCCAAAGUGCUGGGAUUACAAGUGUGAGCCACCACGCCUGGCUGGAUAAUUUUUUAUAUACGUUUUGUAGAGACAGUGCCUUGCUAUGUUGCCCAGGCUGAUCUUGAACUCCUGGCCUCAAGCAAUCCUCUCCCUUCAGCCUCCAAAAGCCCUGAGAUUACGGGCCUGAGCCACCAUGCCCGGCCAGUUUUGUUUUUUAUCUUAAAUGUGUAUUUGUGAAUUAUUUUGCAAUGGUUGGCGGGCUCACAGACCCUGAAAAGGCUUGUACUUUUGGUAGAAAGGCAUGAGCAACACACAAAAAUAUCUGCAAACAGACAUGGCUUUUUUCCUCAACAUGUUCUAAAUCAUUUGAAAACUUUUAAUUUUCAAAAUUAAAGGCCUGAGUAAAAUUCCAGCUGACAAAUCCACCUCUUAUUCUCCCUUGGUAAUUAAUCAUGAGAUGGUAAACACAGAAGACCUUCAGUGAAGUUGAAGCCUUUACUAUACGAAGGUUCUAGUGAGGGGAGUGCAAAGUGGGGCCGCAGGACAGACACCUGCUCUGAUGACCACGGAACAUGGCGUGGUGGAGUCAAUGUGUGGAAACUCAGCAAUGGUGUGAGUCUCGCGUGGAGCUGCCGACCCAUCGCUUCCUCAUGGGAAAGAUUUUUCCACUUGGGCUCCACUUAUCGCACUCAAGAAACACUGGAUAUUCUGGGAAACUCUUGGAGGGCAGGCAAAAACCAUCCUCCCUCAGACAUGGAGCAUUGACUAAGCUGCUUGUACCUGGGCAGUGUCUGUUUUAAGUAUUAACUAAAAAUCAUUUCCAAGGGAAGCAACAUAGGAAACAGGAAUUAAAAAUGCAAAUGCUGAA